GCCAAGGCCACCACGGAGAGAUGAGGAAACUGAGGCUCAGCUCUGUGAGCUGACUUGCUGGACAGCAGGGAAGUGGCUGGUGUGGCCCCAAUCCACUGCCUGGCCAGGGAGGCUCUUGACUAUGGACUUCAGCCCCCCAACACCUGUGAUCGCAUCUCUGGCAGCGCAGGGGCCGGGGACACGCUUCUCCCUGGCUCUCCAUUCCCGUGAAAAACACAUCUGAUGCCAAAUCCUCCAGGGAGAGGCCCCGAAUAAACACGCCCACCGGGAGGAAUCCCCCUUCCUGCUGCUCCCUCAUCCUGCUCCCAAAGCAG